GAACGCUGGCGGCGUGCUUAANACAUGCAAGUCGAACGAAGCACUUUAUUAGAUUUCCUCGGAAUGAAGAUAUUGUGACUGAGUGGCGGACGGGUGAGUAACGCGUGGGUAACCUGCCUCAUACAGGGGGAUAACAGUUGGAAACGACUGCUAAUACCGCAUAAGCGCACGGUAUCGCAUGAUACAGUGUGAAAAACUCCGGUGGUAUGAGAUGGACCCGCGUCUGAUUAGCUAGUUGGUGAGGUAACGGCCCACCAAGGCGACGAUCAGUAGCCGACCUGAGAGGGUGACCGGCCACAUUGGGACUGAGACACGGCCCAAGCUCCUACGGGAGGCAGCAGUGGGGAAUAUUGCACAAUGGGCGAAAGCCUGAUGCAGCGACGCCGCGUGAACGAAGAAGUAUUUCGGUAUGUAAAGUUCUAUCAGCAGGGAAGAUAAUGACGGUACCUGACUAAGAAGCACCGGCUAAAUACGUG
rnacentral:rRNA from 1 species